rnacentral:rRNA from 1 species
AGUCGAGCGCCCAGCAAUGGGAGCGGCGGACGGGUGAAUAACGCGUGGGAAUAUGCCCUUUGGUACGGAACAACUCAGGGAAACUUGAGCUAAUACCGUAUGAGCCGGUAACGGGAAAGAUUUAUCGCCAAAGGAUUAGCCCGCGUCCGAUUAGCUAGUUGGUGAGGUAAUGGCUCACCAAGGCACCGAUCGGUAGCUGGUCUGAGAGGACGACCAGCCACACUGGGACUGAGACACGGCCCAGACUCCUACGGGAGGCAGCAGUGGGGAAUCUUGGACAAUGGAGGAAACUCUGAUCCAGCCAUGCCGCGUGAGUGAUGAAGGCCUUCGGGUUGUAAAACUCUUUCGGCGGGGACGAUAAUGACGGUACCCGCAGAAGAAGCUCCGGCUAACUUCGUGCCAGCAGCCGCGGUAAUACGAAGGGGGCUAGCGUUGUUCGGAAUUACUGGGCGUAAAGCGCGCGCAGGCGGCCUUUCAAGUCAGGGGUGAAAGCCCGGAGCUCAACUCCGGAAUUGCCUUUGAAACUGUAAGGCUCGAGUACGGGAGAGGUGAGUGGAAUUCCCAGUGUAGAGGUGAAAUUCGUAGAUAUUGGGAAGAACACCGGUGGCGAAGGCGGCUCACUGGCCCGUAACUGACGCUCAGGCGCGACAGCGUGGGGAUCAAACAGGAUUAGAUACCCUGGUAGUCCACGCCGUA